rnacentral:rRNA from 1 species
UACGUAGGCAGCAAGCGUUGUUCGGAAUUACUGGGCGUAAAGAGUGCGUAGGCGGUGCUCUAAGUUUGGUGUGAAAUCUCCCGGCUCAACUGGGAGGGUGCGCCGAAAACUGGAGUGCUUGAGUGUGGGAGAGGAAAGCGGAAUUCCUGGUGUAGCGGUGAAAUGCGUAGAUAUCAGGAGGAACACCUGCGGUGUAGACGGCUUUCUGGACCACGACUGACGCUGAGGCACGAAAGCGUGGGGAGCAAAC